GACGAACGCUGGCGGCGUGCCUAAUACAUGCAAGUAGAACGCAGUUGCGAACGGGUGAGUAACGCGUAGGUAACUGCCUCAUAGCGGGGGAUAACUAUUGGAAACGAUAGCUAAUACCGCAUCCUGUGAGAUGGACCUGCGUUGUAUUAGUUAGUUGGGGGGGUAAAGGCUCACCAAGACGACGAUAAAUAGCCGACCUGAGAGGGUGAUCGGUCUCAACGGGUCUGAGCAACUGCCCAAAUUGCUACGGUAGGCAGCAGUAGGGAAUCUUAGGACAUGGACGGAACUCUGACCGAGCAACGGCGCGGGAGUGAAGAAGGUUUUCGGCUCGUAGAGCUCUGUUGUUAGAGAAGCGGGACCUAACCAGAAAGGGACGGCUAACUACGUGCCAGCAGGCGCGGUAAUAC
rnacentral:rRNA from 1 species